CACUUUGGGGGGGGGGGGGGGCAGGAAGACAGGAGCGGGUCCUCGCAGCCCGUGAGCCAGCAGCAGUCACGGGACAAACCCUGAGCUCAACGUUUCUUUCCCUCGGGUGGACUUAAAAGCAAUGCUCUGCUCCGAGGAACCAGCGCGGCACGGGGCGAGCGCUCAGAGCUCAGGGUGCUUGAGCUGCCCUUGCUGUGCUCCGGGCUGUGCAAUGGGUCCUGCUGGGUGCUCCCAAUGCAGCACAGCUCCAGGUCCUGCCGGGUGCUCCCUCCGUGGCUGUGAUGUGUGGGAGCAGCUGCCCGAUCCCACUGCUGCCAAGUCUGCCCUCAGGCAUUCGGAGGAGGAAGGGGAGGCCGUAGCUGGCUUUCAAACACCACCCUGCCCCCCCAGCCCCCAUGAGGACCCCAGCUGUGCACCCGGCUUGGCCGCGGUGUGGCCCCGUGCGGGCAGAGGGCUCUGUGCAGUGGCAGCUGUUGGCUCUGUGCCGCCCGUCUUGCCCCUUGGAUUUCGGUUUCCUGCUGUGAAGCCGCCUCUGCUUCCGUGCAGCCCUGCAGCAGCGAGGGCCCGGCCGGGGCAGCGCCUUGGAGGUGUUAAAACUGCCAUCAUUUGGACCAACCUGGGGCCGUGCGGGAGCCAGCCCUGCUGUGGGGGAGGCCCUGGCUGAACUCCCCCAGCCCCCCCCCCCCAUUCUCGUUCCCUUUUCUUCUCCUGGAGCUUUUCAUUCACUCCCCCCGGCCUUUGCGCCCCGUGCUGAGCGGGGUGGGGGCCAUCAGGAUGCUCAUGGUCUCCCUGCUCCCCCCGCUUUCCCAGCCCUGCACGUUCCAGGAAGGGCUGAAUCCUGGGGGUGUCAGGUGAGCGGGGCCCAUGGCUGGGGCUGGGUGCUGGCUGCCAGCACAAAGAUUUACGGUGUCUGUCUGGCCGGGCUGCAGCCCCCCCCUCCCCCCACAUUUCUUCUCCCCUUCUUUUCCCCCGCCUUCCCAGCACGUUGCAGUGAAUGGAGGAGCCCUGGCUGUAACCACAGCACGCUCUGGCUUUCCCUUGCCGUCCCCACAGAGGCACGGUGCCCUGGGGAAUUCCUGCAUGGGACGGGGCAGCAGCUCCACCCCCCCAGCAGCAGCACCCUUCAUGUCUCCAUCCAUCCCCUCCCCAUAACCCUGCUUGGGCAGCGGCGGGGGGGGAUCCUGCAAAGCUCCCACCUUGUCCUUGGGGGGGCCUGGUGCUGCAGCUCGGCCUUUCUGAGCUGUGUGUGUGUGGGGGGGGGUCCUCAGGUGCAGCUGCAGAGGGGUGGG
rnacentral:lncRNA from 1 species